rnacentral:rRNA from 1 species
AACGAACGCUGGCGGCAUGCCUAACACAUGCAAGUCGAACGAAGUCUUCGGACUUAGUGGCGCACGGGUGCGUAACGCGUGGGAAUCUGCCCUUGGGUGCGGAAUAACUUCUCGAAAGGGAUGCUAAUACCGCAUAAUGUCGUAAGACCAAAGAUUUAUCGCCCAAGGAUGAGCCCGCGUAAGAUUAGCUAGUUGGUGGGGUAAAAGCCUACCAAGGCGACGAUCUUUAGCUGGUCUGAGAGGAUGAUCAGCCACACUGGGACUGAGACACGGCCCAGACUCCUACGGGAGGCAGCAGUGGGGAAUAUUGGACAAUGGGCGCAAGCCUGAUCCAGCAAUGCCGCGUGAGUGAUGAAGGCCUUAGGGUUGUAAAGCUCUUUCACCGGGGAAGAUAAUGACGGUACCCGGAGAAGAAGCCCCGGCUAACUCCGUGCCAGCAGCCGCGGU